CCCUUAGAUGUUCUGGGCCGCACGCGUGGUACACUGAGUGGAUCAGCGGGUCAGGUUGCGCGAAAGCGUUUCCUAAUCUUUAAAUCCGCUCGUGAUGGGGAUUGACGGUUGCAAUUUUCUGUCAUGAACGAGGAAUACCUUGUAAGCGCGGGUCAUCAUCCCGCGCUGAAUACGUCCCUGCCCUUUGUACACACCGCCCGUCGCUCCUACCGAUUGAGUGGUCCGGUGAGGCUUUGGGAUCUGAGCGGAAAGAGCGUUUCGCUGUUUCUGCUCGGAAAACUCAGUCGAACCUUAUCAUUUAGAGGAAGGAGAAGUCGUAACA
rnacentral:rRNA from 1 species